UACGGGGGGGGCAAGCGUUGUUCGGAAUUACUGGACGUAAAGCGCACGUAGGCGGCUUUGUAAGUUAGAGGUGAAAGCCCGGGGCUCAACUCCGGAAUUGCCUUUAAGACUGCAUCGCUAGAAUUGUGGAGAGGUAAGUGGAAUUCCGAGUGUAGAGGUGAAAUUCGUAGAUAUUCGGAAGAACACCAGUGGCGAAGGCGACUUACUGGACACAUAUUGACGCUGAGGUGCGAAAGCGUGGGGAGCAAACAGG
rnacentral:rRNA from 1 species